rnacentral:tRNA from 1 species
GGGCCGUUGGCGCAGUUGGCUAGCGCGCUUCCAUGGCAUGGAAGAGGUCGUGGGUUCGAAUCCCACACGGUCCACCA